GGAGGUUGCCUGCGGACGGACCGCUCGCCAACCCGGUCAGAUCCGGAAGGAAGCAGCCGUAACGAAUCCGGUCCGGGUCGCCGGGCAAUCUCCCGC
rnacentral:SRP_RNA from 2 species